UUUGAAUUAUGUCAAUUUCCCUAUUUACAUAUGCACAAUUUUAGAAGAUACUUGUUAAAAUUAAAUAGCUAGUCUGAAAAUUAUGUUAAUAGAGAAAAAUUGUUUCCCUAAAGUUGCCUAGCCCAACUCGUUGGGCAGGUAUAGUUUUGAUGAUAAAUAGCUUGUUAAAAAAUAAAGAUAUUUUACAGGAAAUGGCUAUUCUUGAUAUAUUUACUGAUCGAGAUAAGAGACUUACUCCUCUUGAUAACGAUGGUCAUAUUUACGCAAAUAGAGAUAGUGGAAGGAGAUAAAGCCAAUUUAUCUGAUGUCCCUCAAGCGUUUAUUCAUAUCAGGGAGACAUUUAACGCUUAUAAAACCAUAUCAAAUAUAUUGUCGCAGAGCGAGAUUUUAGAAAUAGAGCAGUUUAUCAAAAGCCGAAAAAAUUUUGUUGACGGGACAUUCAUUGUGCUGCUCAUAUAUUUGACCCAAGGUUUUGCGGAUUUAAUUAAAGAGACAAUGAAGUUGCAAAGGGGUUGGAUAUUAUUAACCGAUUUUCUGGAUAUCUAGAUUUAGAUAUUGCAAGAGUAAUAGGAAACCUAUCCAAAUAUCGUGCAAGAGAAGAUUUUUUUAAUAUAGCAAGUCUUUGGCAAGGCGCAUCAUUUACAGAUCUAGUGAGUUGGUGGAAAAAAUACUUUUAUAUUUCUGUCUAUGUUGCAAUCAAUACAUAUCGACCCUAGCCAUACGAAUUUUAUCAGUACCACCAACAAGUGCAUCCGAAAGAAUAUAGUCCUCCUUUGGAAAUAUUCAUUCUAAAUCUAGAAAUAGAAUAAAAAAUGACUAAGUUCGCAAAUUAGUUUAUAUAAGAGCCAAUCUACAUUUUAUGGGAAAG